rnacentral:lncRNA from 1 species
CCAGAGCUAGAUUUUAAAAGGUACCAUUUCUCUUCCCCCUGAAAUUCAGGCUACCCCAGAAUGUGUUUCUUGGUGAUUUCUGAUGCUUCCAUGAAUUAUACAUUGUUCAACGACUACCCAAGCCCCAACUUUAUUCCCACUAAUCUCAACCUCAAGAAUCCAUCCACAGACCAGGAGAGAGAAGAUGAACAGGUGUGUAAAGUGGGAGAUGGCUGGAAAGUCUAAACAUAUUUCUGGACCUAUGUGCAGAGUUGCCACAAAUUGAAAUCAAAUCAGGAUCCAUUAUCUACUGCAGGUAAGUGUAUCUGUGGACAUCACUUUUGGGCAGAAUAUUUAAUCUUUGUGACUAUUGGUAU